GACGAACGCUGGCGGCGUGCUUAACACAUGCAAGUCGAACGGAAAGGCCCUGCUCUUGUGGGGUGCUCGAGUGGCGAACGGGUGAGUAUCACGUGUGUAACCUGUCCCUGACUUUGGGAUAACUUCAGGAAACUGGGGCUAAUAUCGGAUAUGAGCUCUUGCUGCACGGUGGGUGUUGGAAAGUUUCGGCGUUUGGGGAUGGACUCGAGGCUUAUCAGCUUGUUGGUGGGGUAGUGGCUUACCAAGGCUCUGACGGGUAGCCGGCCUGGGAGGGUGACCGGCCACAAUGGGACUGAGAUACGACCCAGACGGCUACGGGAGGCAGCAGUGGAAAAUAUUGCACAAUGGGCGGAAGCCUGAUACAGCAACGCCGGGUGCGGAAUGACGGCCUGCGGGUUGUAAACCGCUUUCGCCUGUAACGAAGCGUGAGUGACGGUAAUGGGUAAAGAAGCACCGGCUAACUACGUG
rnacentral:rRNA from 1 species